AGUAAAAGUCGUAACAAGGUUUCCGUAGGUGAACCUGCGGAAGGAUCAUUACUGAGACUGGGUGCUCCGGCGCCCGACCUCCAACCCCUUGUCUACCCUACCACUGUUGCCUCGGCGCUCCCGCGAGCGCCGGCCGUUAGCUCGGCCGGCGCCUGGCGUGGCUCGCCGGCGGCCUACAAACCUAAACCCUUCUCUAAACCACGUCUUCUGAGUUUGAAAUUUAAUAAACUUCAAAACUUUCAACAACGGAUCUCUUGGUUCUGGCAUCGAUGAAGAACGCAGCGAAAUGCGAUAAGUAAUGUGAAUUGCAGAAUUCAGUGAAUCAUCGAAUCUUUGAACGCACAUUGCGCCCUUUGGUAUUCCGAAGGGCAUGCCUGUUCGAGCGUCAUUUUCAACCAUCAAGCUCUGCUUGGAGUUGGAGGUCAGCCCCGGUAACACGGGGCUCCUCCCAAACCGGUCGGCGGCGGCUCAGGAGCCUCAAGCGUUAGUAGAAUCUCCCGCUUCAGAGGACCCUCGGUCGCCCGCCUCCAGAAAACCCACACCUCAAGGUUGACCUCGGAUCAGGUAGGGAUACCCGCUGAACUUAAGCAUAUCAAUAAGCGGAGGA
rnacentral:rRNA from 1 species